AUUGAAGUGGAUAGAAUUCAAAAAACGUGGUGAGUAUCAUUGCAAUCAGAAAAUAUAAGAUGGAGCACAUACAAAGAAAGAAAAGGGAAAAGAACCAGUUCCUGAAACAGUGAAAUAAUAGUACUCAGUGAUCCACUGAUUCUGUUGCUCACGACUCUUUACCAGUUUCUAUAAGAGACACACUACAAUUUGAAAGGCCAGGAAGCUGAAGGGGAAUCUACUCAAUGUCAGUCUAGAUUUGGGCAACAGCAUCAGCCAACAACUAUAGCUUGCUGUUUUUCAGGACAAUCAGAUUAGCUCAGUACAUCUAGGCCCUGGAAACACAAACCCUCUAAUGUGAGAGCUUGUCCUAGUAGCCACAUCAUUUCGAUGCUGGUUCAACAGGCGCUUGAAACUCUGCCGCUGGAUAUCAUAUUCGUAUUCACAAAGAAAGACGUCAUCUCCUUCAUUAUUGGCUUCAGAAAAUUCUUUACAAUUCAUUACAGAGCAAUGCCAAAGAAUAGAUUCCAUCUGCAUGCAUUGACAGGCAUUAAACUUCCCUCUGCGCUAUAAAAAAUAAGGCUUGCCUUUUGCAGAGUGAUGGUAUUUACGAGGACAUUGUAUUCAGGUGCGCAACACCGAUUUGUCACCCAUUUUCUCUAGGAGACCAAGAGGAGGAGUUGGAGCAUAGCGAGAUGGACAUCCAGAAGGCUUGGUCAAUGAAAAUCUCCUUUACUGGGAACUCUAGACAAGUGGACAGGAAGUGCUUACAAUAGAAUUGCUAAUAGAUAAGCCAAAAAGAGGUGAACAGAUUUUUCUUUAUUCAGCAAUAGAUGAAAGCUAUAAUGUUUGAGGACAUGAUUGUGCACUAACAGAAGUCCAAAUAUCAAUCGGGCAAAGCUAGCUUCUGAGCUAUCAUUUGUAUCCCGUAUAUGUAAUCUAACUUUCAGUGAAAUUCUAAUUUCCUAAUUCAGAUACACACAUCCACCAUGACCAAAAAAUUGUUAAUAAAAGCUAAAACAAACUUGAAAACUGA